rnacentral:lncRNA from 1 species
UUUUUGAACAUUUCUAAAAAUUUCUCAAAGUUUUUCUCAUGUUGAUCCAUCUUCUUUUCUCUCUAAGGAUAUAGGAGUCUGAUGAAGGGUCUUGGCACUUUUUGUUUACUACUUUCAACCACUUUAGGGGAAGAAUCCUCUUCAAACUUUUUCUGACUUUCUUUGAUUUCAAGAUCUACCUCUAAGAGAUGGUCUUCUAC